GGAUUGUGGCUCAGUGGCAGAGGACUUGCCUCACAAGUAUGAGGCACUAGGUUCGAUCCUUAGCACCA
rnacentral:tRNA from 1 species